AGAGCGAACGCUGGCGGCAGGCCUAAUACAUGCAAGUCGAACGGACCCUUCGGGGUUAGUGGCGGACGGGUGAGUAACACGUGGGAACGUGCCCUUUGGUUCGGAACAACUCAGGGAAACUUGAGCUAAUACCGAAUGUGCCCCCAUCCUUAAACAAGAUGGGUGGGAAAGAUUUAUCGCCAUUGGAGCGGCCCGCGUCUGAUUAGCUAGUUGGUGAGGUAAAGGCUCACCAAGGCGACGAUCAGUAGCUGGUCUGAGAGGAUGAUCAGCCACACUGGGACUGAGACACGGCCCAGACUCCUACGGGAGGCAGCAGUAGGGAAUCUUGCGCAAUGGGCGAAAGCCUGACGCAGCCAUGCCGCGUGAAUGAUGAAGGUCUUAGGAUUGUAAAAUUCUUUCAGUCGGGGACGAUAAUGACGGUACCCGCAGAAGAAGCCCCGGCUAACUUCGUGCCAGCAGCCGC
rnacentral:rRNA from 1 species